GAAUCUUACUGUAUGGCAG
rnacentral:miRNA from 1 species